GGGGUUUUCUUGCCUGUUCCAUUUCUCACAGUUGGGUUUUUUAGCCAACUACUAUUUAUUUUCCAUUUAUUUUCUCUGUUGCACUCCUAAUUUGUAUAUUCACCAAGAAAGUGACAGGGCUCUAUGCUAAUUCCUUUCACAAAUAGUCAGGAAAAUCUGACUAAAGUUUAUGGAUGUGGGUCUCUUCUUCUUUCUCUACGGUUUUACCAAAUUCUUAUCGCAGAUUUGGUUUGAAUAGAAAUCAAAACUAUCCUCGAAGAAAGUCACUUCAUUCAUUUCACUUUUUC
rnacentral:misc_RNA from 1 species